rnacentral:lncRNA from 1 species
UGUUAUGUUCAUUUUCAAUGUUCAUUCAGCUUUGAAAUUUUGUUCAUGCUAAUUCACAACUACAUUGUGAAGGAUAGCCAGCUUAUUAUUCAAACUCUUUCAAUCAUGAUAUAUCUUUACCUUGUUUUUUUUAAACUUGCUGGGCAACUUUCAUGCUCACCCUUGCUAUAUCAUGAUAAAACAUUGCAGAUAAGGCGAAUACGGCCAGAUACAGAAAAAGGAUAAUGCCAAGUUCAGCUUGGUACAGAAUGUGAAGUUAAGUUGUAAAGUAUGUUGAAGAAUAGUAUUGUCAUGUGCUAGAUAGUUCAUGAUUGUGUAUAAGUGAAGGUUACUCGAUUCUGGGGAAAUGUGUGUAAAGUUUAAUGUAUAAACAAUCUAUGUUUAUAUCUUCCGCAAACAGUUGUAGAAAUAGCGAACCGGAUCCGCGGCGAUUCGGGACCCGGAUUCGGGGAUGCUACAGUUGGUAUCAAAGCUGUUGGUUAUGAAGCUUAGGUAGCAAUACCUGAGACCAAUAACCGCAGUGAUUAGGAUAAGUACUAACUCACAUAGAGUUAGUUGAAGAAUCUCGCAGGGUCAAAAAGUUAGGUUUAAGUAUGGUACCAUUGUACUCGAAACUAGUUGAUGUAUGGUAUCUGGGCUAAACGAUUCCUUCAUAGAGCGGAGGUAUAUACGAACUAGCAACUCGGAACCUAGUUUGUUGGUUGUUUGUGGGAAACCACUCAGCGUACCAUAUUGAAAACUGUUAGAGACUCGAUGUGUACCAAGUAUAGGAAGUGGAUAGAUAGAGUCUAAGAGAUUACAAGUGUAAGGAUGAGAGAUCGUAAAACAAAACGAUCACAGAAUAGCAAUGAAUCGUAAUAUAUACGAUGAGAUCACUCCGUGAUCUGAUAAGAUUAUGGUAUGAAGAAAGAUCAAGAGAAUGAUGAAAAGUUUACAGCAAGAUUGCUGUGUAUGAAUUGUACUAUAAAUUGGUACAGAUCCAGAAGAGAAUUAUAAAUACGAAUUAAAUUCGUAUGGAGAAUGGGGUUAGUGUUAGGUGGGGAUUCAAUUGAGGACUCAUGUCGGCAGCUGAGUGUAUAAUUCUUCGUAUGGGAGCUGAAUUGUACUUGGUGUAAAAACCACUUAGUUUCUGGCACUGAUAAUCAUUGAAAUGUUUAUGUCGCGCUAUUUGUUAUAUGCAUGUUGAGAAGGUGAUUCUUUUCUCAUGUGUAUAACGAAUAGGUAGAGGAUAUAAGGUUAAGUUGCGAGUUCUUAAAACUCAUACUUAUGGUAAGUUCAUGACUCAUAAUCAUAUGGUAUGUUUUGAACCCCUCAGCGAAUGGACGCCUAUGGUCUGACUAGGAUAAGUUCUUAAACUCAUAUGAUUGUGGCAAGUUCCUGAACUCAUAAUGUGUGGUAAGUUUGAUGAACUGGGGUAUAGCAAAGUGGUGAAUGGAGCAUUGAGGAUUAUAAGAAUAGAUAGAUCUAUUAAGUAAUGGAUCAGUAGAAAAAGUGAAGUUGAUGAUGGAAGCAUAGGUAUUCCAAAUCUUCUAGCUAUGCUAGACUUCGAAGUUUUUGACAUCAAGCUAAAUACGCACUAUGUGCUUUUGAAAAAUGAAUUUUUAUUCUCAACUCCUGGUGAUUAUUGUGUAUGCGUGGACUUCGGGCCAUCGACACCUCGUUACCUGUUGAGAUGAUAAAACUGAUUUGCAAAGAUUUUUGAAACGAUUUAAAGUACAGUCUAUGCUACUUAUUUCGGCUAGACGCGAAUGAUUUGAAGUAUCAAAAGUUGUUUUUAUUUAUCACUUAUGUACCAUGCAACCUGGUGCAGAGAUGAUAAAAAAAUGAUGGAGUCAUCAAUGCAGUAUUACUUAGUGUUGGAUGUGAUCUCAGGAUCGUCAACCCACUAUGGUAUGAUGUAGUAUGAUAAAAUCACCAAAUGACGGAAUCCUCAACGGACUGUAAAUACAGUGCGGCAUCAUGACGUCAUUCUCGAAAAAUGUUUUCAAAAUUUUAAUUUGCCAACGGGGUUUGGCUAUACUUAAAUAAUUCUAUUGAACUGAAUUAUCGAUAUGAGUCUAUGCUAUUCGAUUCAGCUAGACUAAUGUUUAUGAAAACUCUAAGUGUUCAUUGAAAGAAAUUUCCCGAACCAAAUUGUUUUGGUGCGGAAUCCUAUACUAAGUCUGAGGUGAACAACCCUGAAAAUGGGGAUAUACUAAUUGGAUAGAAUAUUCCAAUUUAAGGACGCAUAUAGUCGUUCGGAUUACUAAGGUACAAUAGACUGAUCAUCUAAAGUACCAGAAUCGGUAGUUUACCUUCUUCGUGAUUGUAAACAUACCUAUUAAAGAAAUGUUUAAGAGGUAGAGUACCUUUCUUUCUUAAUUGAAAGAGGUAGCAGGUAGAAAUACCCCUAAACCUCGGAGUUCAAAGUUCAUAAUUUUUAUGAUCCCUCAGACAGAUAUGAAAAGUUUUUUUUAACUCUUCAAAGUAAUGUUGUGGUAGAAUGUGAUGAUGGAUAUGAAAUAGUGUAAACUCGUUGCGUACGAGUAGAAUCUGAGAUGAUUAAAUAAAGGUUAUUAUGACAACCUAGUUUUGAUGAAUGUUUAGAAGAUGUAAACUCCUAGUGAGUAGUUAUGGUGAAAUGUGAUAAUAGAUGAGAAAUCCUCGAAUGAGGAAAUUGUAAAGGUUAAAUUGAAAACCUAGUUUUGAUCAAGAGAAUGAGCAGAGGUUAGGAUGCUUUAAUUUCGAGGACGAAAUUCUUAGAAGAAGGGGUGAAUGUGACAACCCGAGAAAUUAGAAAAUUAUUAAAAUCUUAAAUGAUUGGUUUAAGGUCAAAUAAUAGACCUAGACAGAGAAUAAGUGUAUGUGUUUGAUGUUUUCAGAAAGGAAUUUUGAGGAUUUAAAAUUUCUUUUAGUGAAUUAUUCAGGAUUAAGGGUAUGUGUGUAUAUAUUCUGUGAUUACGGUAUUAUGUGUACAGAAUGUGGUUAAGGGUCAAGUGUUGACCAGAUAAAUUAUAUCUGUGUCAAACCCUAAUAUUAUUAGAACGUCAACGUUCAGUUAUAAAAUUAUUACGAUUUAUAAGAAACCCUAGAAAUCGGUUCUGGAAACCCUAAUUUCAGUACCGGGAAUCCGAAAUCCUAAUUCAGUAUUUGAAACCCUAAUUUGGGAAGUCAAAGGCUAAAUAUAAUGGCUUAAGUAUUUUUGAUUAUAUAUUAGGGAUAACCCUAAUUGUUAAAUUAGAAAUCCUAAUGUUUUGUAUAAAACCCUAAGGGAUUAAAAGUUAUGUGUGUAAUGAAUAUGAAUAUUAUGUGUUUGUUUGUUUAUUAUAUAAACAAAUAAAAUAAACUAAUGUAAUCCUAAUUAUAUAUUAAGAAUGAAUGAUUGAAUAACUUAAGAGUUAUGAGUUGGGGGAAAUAAUAGUAUUUAGAUAUAUACUAACUCUAAGAGAUUUAUUUUAUACAUCUCAGUUAAUUAAUUUUAUAACCUAAUUUUAGCAAGUCUAAUUGGGUUAAGGAAAUAAAUGUGCAUGAGUAAGGAUUUAAGUUAUAAUUGAGGAAAAUGAAAACCCUAAUUUAAUGAUUUGGGUUGGAAAAGAAUUAAUAGUAUUGGACUAUGUUAAUUUACAUGGCCCAAAGAAUUAAAUUUUAAGUCCAAUAUAUUAUUUAUUGAUAGCCCAAAAGAUGGAAAUGGUGACCCAAAUUUAAGCCCAAUUAAGGAGGGACAUAUUGGACAUUUGGUAUGCUAAAUAGGAAAUAAAAAAAAAAAGAAAAAGAAAUCAAAUAUUAAUGUGGAAAUGUCCAUUUUUACCCUUUUUGUCCCAUUUUGAUGAAUAAUUGCUAAAGAAUCCUAUGUUAUCUUACAAAUCUAGCAAAUUAUUGAAGGGGGAAUAAUUAUAACCUAGCAUGUGACUUAUAGCUCAAUUAUCAAUCAUCUAGAAUUUACUAGAUUCCUUGAAUUAUAACUUAUAUAGAUUAAAAGUGAGAAAAGCCUCACUUUAAUUAUCAAACUUGUCCAAGACUUAGAGAGGGAGAAAGAGAGAAAGAGAGAAGGGAGGAAUGGCAUUAUGAGAGAGUGAGAAGAGAUACCAUUCGGCAGCUCCAAGAGGAGAAGGAGAAGAAAAGACUUUGAUCUUCAUACACCUCAAGAUCCAUCUCAUAUCUUUGAAGAAGAAAGAAAAUCAAGCAAAGGUAUAAACCCUUUUUGUUUAUGUAAUUUUUGAUGGUUGUAAAUCAAACCUUGAAUCCAUAGUUCUACACUCAAAAACCUUAGAUAUAUGUGUUUAGUAGUUAACCUAAGUGGUAGAACUCAAAAAUCACGUUUCUAAAAGUCGUGGUGUUGAUUUAUGUGAAAACAGUCCCGUUUCUAGGAACUGUUUUGGAUCAGUCCGUAGCAGGGGCAUUUUCGUCCCCUUUUUGUGCUUUAUAAAUUCUGGAAAAAUUUGGGGUGUUAAUAUCAGUAGAUAUGCAGGUUGUGUAAAAAUUUGAGAAUUUUUGGCCAUACGGUUUGAGAGAUAUGGAUUUUACGGUGAAGGACCCCAAAACUGUUUUUUUUGGCCAAAACGUUGCUGCCACAAAAAGGAAAUUUCGGGGUUAGCUAGCCUGCUCUAAAAAUUCUGGGCUUUUGGUAUGUUAUAGUACACUCAAUAAGCUUUCCAUAGACUCCAAAACGGACUAAAUCCGACAUCGGAGGAGAGAGUUAUGAAAUUUCUCCCAAACUACUCAAAGGUAAGAAAAACUGUUAGAGCAACAGUUUUUAGCAGCCACUUCCGGGCUAAAUUCCGAGAGCUUAACAUGUCCAAAUAUGGAUUGUGAUAGAUGAAAACUGUAGUUCGGAAAGUUACGAAUCCAACAAAAUUGACGGAUCGUUAAUCGGAGUUACAGAUCUCGUUUUAUAUAAGUUUUAGCAAAGGACUCUUAAACUGUUUUAUGACAAAAAGUUGCUGUCCAAGAAAUGGUAGGGGCUGUUUUGGAAACUUAAAUUGUGAAAUAAAUUCUGGCCUUUUGGGAAAUGAAAAUAUAUGGUAUUAAGUACCUCGUGUCCAAAAAUGAGCUAAUUCCGGCUUAAAACGACCAAGUUAUGACCAUUUCAAUUUUUGUGAUUUUCCGACGGAAAUCGCUAUAACCGGAGUUCUACAACUCUGAUUGCCACGAAAUUUAAAAUGGAGCAUCACGUUAACAUAUAUAAGGUUAUGUCAAAAGAUGGGCAUCUCUGGAGUUAAGCACGAGGUAGCUAAUUUUCUUAAGUCACGCACUAAUUCUGAUUUUUGAAAAAUAGAAUUAAUGCUUUAAAAAUCAUAUAAAAAUGAUUUAUGUGUUAUAAAAAUAUUCUAAGUUAUAAACUAUAACUUUUGAUAUUUUGUCAUGAAAAUAUUAAUAUUUUAUUAUUAAUAUCAAUUAUCGGAUAAUGAUUUUAAGUGUUUAAAAAUCAUAUAAAUGUGAUUUUAAGGUAUUAAAAAUACCGUGAUAUAUUAUACAUUAUAUUAUAAUAUUAUGUAAUGAUUUUCAUUAAUAUUUGAUAUUAAAUAGAUAUUAAUGAUUAAAGAAUUAUGUGGUAUUUAAUUCAUUUAAAUACGUUAUUAAUGAUCGGAAAAUUUAGAUAAAUGAUAUUAAUUAUCUGAAAAAUAUUUCGAGCUUAUGAAAAUCAUUUAGACUGAUAAGAAAAUUAUCUGUGAUAUCGUCAAGUGUUUAGGCAGAGUUUAAUUAAACUUAGACUCCUUAAAUUGUCCGACUAGACCGUCGGGAUGAUAGAAUUGUACCGAUUUCAACUCGGACUGAAAUAGUUUGACUUGAAGCUAUGUCUUAUGUGUAUAAGAGACUGAUAAGAUUAUGUGGUAAUAUGUUUAAGUUAUUUUAUAACUGUGAUGAUAUUAUUCUAAUACUGGAGAUCUAUAUUAUUAAUAUUAGGUCUUCGGGAGAAGCUUAUUAUAUUGUGUUACGGUAAUCAACGGUUCAGGCAAGUUUUUAAGUUUUUCAAGUUCUUUUUACUUAAACUCUUUUAAGAGUGGUUUCAGACAGAUAUGCUUAUGAAUUGUACUCUGUACAUAUUGCAUGUAUUCAUCAGGUAUGAAAGGCUGAUCACCUUCAUUACCAGUCAGUUCAGAUAUAAUUGUUAUGUUCAUUUUCAAUGUUCAUUCAGCUUUGAAAUUUUGUUCAUGCUAAUUCACAACUACAUUGUGAAGGAUAGCCAGCUUAUUAUUCAAACUCUUUCAAUCAUGAUAUAUCUUUACCUUGUUUUUUUUAAACUUGCUGGGCAACUUUCAUGCUCACCCUUGCUAUAUCAUGAUAAAACAUUGCAGAUAAGGCGAAUACGGCCAGAUACAGGAAAAGGAUAAUGCCAAGUUCAGCUUGGGAUAGAAUGUGAAGUUAAGUUGUAAAGUAUGUUGAAGAAUAGUAUUGUCAUGUGCUAGAUAGUUCAUGAUUGUGUAUAAGUGAAGGUUACUCGAUUCUGGGGAAAUGUGUGUAAAGUUUAAUGUAUAAACAAUUUAUGUUUAUAUCUAAAGUAAAAAGUUAUAGAAAUUAGCGAACCGAAUCCGCGGCGAUUUGGGGCCCGGAUUCGGGGACGCUACA